GAUGAAGAACGCAGCGAAAUGCGAUAAGUAAUGUGAAUUGCAGAAUUCAGUGAAUCAUCGAAUCUUUGAACGCACAUUGCGCCCCUUGGUAUUCCGAGGGGCAUGCCUGCUCGAGCGUCAUUAUAACCCCUCAAGCUCAGCUUGGUGUUGGGGCCUGCUGCACUGGCAGCCCUUAAAAUCAGUGGCGGCGCCAUCUGGCUCUAAGCGUAGUAAUUCUUCUCGCUAUGGAGUCCUGGUGGAUGCUUGCCAUCAACCCCCAAUUUUUCUAUGGUUGACCUCGGAUCAGGUAGGGAUACCCGCUGAACUUAAGCAUAUCAAUAAGCG
rnacentral:misc_RNA from 1 species